rnacentral:rRNA from 1 species
AUUGAACGCUGGCGGCAUGCUUUACACAUGCAAGUCGAACGGCAGCGCGGGCUUCGGCCUGGCGGCGAGUGGCGAACGGGUGAGUAAUACAUCGGAACGUGCCCAGUAGUGGGGGAUAGCUCGGCGAGAGCCGGAUUAAUACCGCAUACGACCUGAGGGUGAAAGCGGGGGAUCUUCGGACCUCGCGCUAUUGGAGCGGCCGAUGGCAGAUUAGCUAGUUGGUUGGGUAAAGGCCUACCAAGGCGACGAUCUGUAGCUGGUCUGAGAGGACGACCAGCCACACUGGGACUGAGACACGGCCCAGACUCCUACGGGAGGCAGCAGUGGGGAAUUUUGGACAAUGGGCGAAAGCCUGAUCCAGCAAUGCCGCGUGUGUGAUGAAGGCCUUCGGGUUGUAAAGCACUUUUGGCGGGAACGAAAAGGACUGUGCCAAUACCACGGUUCGAUGACGGUACCCGCAGAAUAAGCACCGGCUAACUACGUG